UACAGAGGGUGCGAGCGUUGUCCGGAAUCACUGGGCGUAAAGGGCGCGUAGGCGGCCUGGUAAGUAGGGGGUGAAAUCCCGCGGCUCAACCGCGGGGCUGCCUCCUAGACUGCCGGGCUCGAGCAGAGCAGAGGCUAGCGGAAUUCCCGGUGUAGCGGUGGAAUGCGUAGAGAUCGGGAGGAACACCAGCGGCGAAGGCGGCCUUCUGGACGGUGACUGACGCUGAGACGCGAAAGCGUGGGGAGCAAACAGG
rnacentral:rRNA from 1 species